rnacentral:lncRNA from 1 species
CGUCCUCUACACGUGUACGAUCCAUGGUCGCAGAGAUCACGGGAUGAAUGGCUGCAAGUGAAACACAAGAGGCGAAUCUGCUAUGUCUUCUUGGCUGCCGUGGAAAAGAGUUGAAAGAGUCACUUGGCUGGAGAAUGUCCCUUUUCGGAGAGAAAUGGCAGUAAUUAUACAGAAAAGGCGGACCCACAGACCAAACAGCCUGAAGCUAUCGAACCCCGCACCCUCGAGAACCUUCGGAGGCAUGGAAUUUCUCGCAGACUGUCCAUGUGAGUCUUCCAGGGACACAGCAGAAGCCUCUGCCUGCACAUGUCUCUGCUCUGGAUCUUCCGGUUCCCUUCUCUUCUCUGAUGCUUCCGGUUCCCGACUUGUCCAGAGGCCACUCCUUCAGGAGACCCAAGCUUCUCGCUGUCGGAUUUCUGCUUUACAGCUUGCCCUCGGGGACAACGGCAAAGAGCUCAAGCUUGGUCCAUCGACUUCAAGUAUGAGAACAGAAGGAUCAUAACGAUCAUACACUAAUUGAACACAGAAAAGUGUGGCUGGUACUUUAGAGAAACUGCCCAAGAAAGUAAAAUCGACCACUGAUCAUCCGUGAUUGUUCACACCUUAGAGAAGAUGAUGCUGUCGGUCCUUCUAUGACGAUGUGACUGAUGACCAACGAAAGAGUAUGGUGCGACAGUGUUGGCUGGAGGUAACCAGUAGUGGGGACAGAUGGCCACUUUAAUCUGUACUCUCUUAUUUUAUUAGUUAUAGUCUACCUAACUCCCAAAUUAUUUGAGGUGGGGGAACUUCCGCUUCUGACCAUUGACACAGUAUGUGACUAGCCCUCUUGCUAGAAGUAUCUAUAAAACUGGACACCUAUUUUCAAGGCUUUGGACAACGGAAAUACACGGCUAAUCGGACACAAGGG